rnacentral:tRNA from 1 species
GGAGAGUUAUCGAAGUGGUCAUAACGGGGCGCACUCGAAAUGCGUUUGCUCUUCGGGGCACGAGGGUUCGAAUCCCUCACUCUCCG